CCCUCGCCCGCCCCCCAUCAUGAUAUCAGAUUCAGAGGCCUGGCUGAGCCCUGUGAUUUAGCCAAAUUCAAUAUGAUUCUUUUCUACUGUGAUGUUAAGGCCCUUGUGUCAUGCAGCGUAUUCGGUAGCACCGGUACACAACUUAUGUUAAACCGCGACGUCUGCUGCAAUUCAAAUUGCAUAUGACGCCAACGGAAUUGUGACGACUUGUUUCUCAAAUCUUUUAGUGAACAGUGAUCACGGGCUGUGGGAAUUGCGAAGGGAUGGUGUAGAGUAUCGCCACAACAAUGUUGAUAUGAUCACUCGUCGUUUCAGCGGGCAUGACUUGGUACAUCCAGUGACCCAGCAAAAAGUAGCCUCGGUACAGCCAGAAGUAGCAACAAAUCGCAAAAGGGGAUCCUUGUCUGACUGGUGGCUGGACCACAUGACACUUGUUGGAAAAGGAAGGACCAAAGGUGCCAUCGUCGAGGGCCCAGAUAGAUGAAGAGAUUGAAGCCUGGGCUGCACACAAUCCUGUUAGUAACAAAAAAAGGAGGAAAAAAUGCUGUCCCAUUUGUCCAUAUGCCCAGCGCCAGAACCCAUUUAUACAUCUGGGUAGUGAGAAAAUCUAGGAAGAAGUCGCCACCCACUGAUGAUCUCAUCCG